CUCAGCUAUCUCUUCAAUUCCAGAAUUCUUAGCCUGGUCCAUCUGCUUGAUUACUUUAAAUGCCUCCCUAUGUUACUCCUCCAAUUUCAUGGCACCACUUGAAGCAUGGAGAGCAGAGUACUAAAAAUAAAGCAGCUGAGUUGCUUCAUGGACCUGAAUGCGUCAGUGACAGAACAAGAAAAACCUUUUAUAUCUGCCAUCCAAGCAAUCUCUUCCCCUUUUCAUCUUUCAGAGCUGUAAGCUCUAGCCUUACAGCUUCUCAGUGAAGAAUAUAUUUGAUUAUCUGGAGCAAACGAUGGCUGGCUGCUCGAUAGGAAUACACUGAGCAUCCAUAUCCUCUGAAACCAUAUGUCUGUACCUUGCCAGGUGGAGCUCCAUGUGUCCUUGAGAGUACUGAUAUCUCUCUGUCUCCCAGACCUGGCUGACAAGCCUAGUACAUCAAGAACAGUGCCUUAUAGUUCCUGGCAUCCAAUUAUCUCCUCUAUAGCUAUGCCAAAUGUGAACAGAGGUCCAAGAGAUGCCAUUGAGUCAGUAUUUGCAAAAUGAACUAUUUCCGUUGUACUUUCAGAUUCAGGAGAAAAGAAACAUAUGUGGUUAUUUUUUAAUUCACAAGCACAACUUUAUGCUGUGUGUUUAAAAAGAUCCUGAAAAUGCAUGUAAUAAAACAAAUAGUACCCUUAUCUAAGCACUAGCUGAGACUGCUGCACAGUGAGAAGCGUGUGUCUCAGUCUGUUUCAGUCUUUCUCCUAACAAAGAGUUUACAAGAUCCUGUAAGAGUGGACUGCUCUUUGCUGGGCAAUUUGGGGUAAUUAAGAUUUUUGGAGUGCCAUCAUAGCGAAUCUUGUUUUGUGAAAGGCUUUGUGCCAGCAGGGUAAAAGGCACACUAGAACUGAAUACUGUCACUGUUUGUGGACUACCUGAGGGUAUUACAGGAAAAAGGAAUGAAGCAAUUUGAAUUUUCAUAUUUUGGAGUGGAUACUUUGUUCCCCAUACUGCUUCUCUGAAAAUAAAGCUUGCAUUGAUCAGUAGGUACUGUGAAGGGAAUCUGAAAAUAACAUUGGGAACAUAUUUUCUGCUUGGAAUGGAUAUGACUCUUCUCCUUAGGACACCUAUAUACUCUGCAGUGAAUCACAGAAGCAGAUCAGGAGGAAAUGCAUUUACUCUUCUUUAGUCUCACUGAUGACUUUGGUAAUAGUUAUACUGUUUCUGGAAAUCUGUGGUGAUUUUCUCAUUAAAACUUCUUACAUC
rnacentral:lncRNA from 7 species